GAUGAACGCUGGCGGCGUGCCUAAUACAUGCAAGUCGAGCGAACAGACGAGGAGCUUACUCCUCUGACGUUAGCGGCGGACGGGUGAGUAACACGUGGAUAACCUACCUAUAAGACUGGGAUAACUUCGGGAAACCGGAGCUAAUACCGGAUAACAUGUUGAACCGCAUGGUUCAACAGUGCAAGACGGUCUUGCUGUCACUUAUAGAUGGAUCCGCGUCGCAUUAGCUAGUUGGUAAGGUAACGGCUUACCAAGGCAACGAUGCGUAGCCGACCUGAGAGGGUGAUAGGCCACCCUGGAACUGAGACACGGACCAGACUCCUACGGGAGGCAGCAGUAGGGAAUCUUCCGCAAUGGGCGGAAGCCUGACGGAGCAACGCCGCGUGAGUGAAGAAGGUCUUCGGAUCGUAAAACUCUGUUAUUAGGGAAGAACAAAUGUGUAAGUAACUAUGCACGUCUUGACGAUACCUAAUCAGAAAGCCACGGCUAACUACGUG
rnacentral:rRNA from 1 species